rnacentral:rRNA from 1 species
AGUGAACGCUGGCGGUAGGCCUAACACAUGCAAGUCGAACGGCAGCACAGUAAGAGCUUGCUCUUACGGGUGGCGAGUGGCGGACGGGUGAGGAAUACAUCGGAAUCUACUUUUUCGUGGGGGAUAACGUAGGGAAACUUACGCUAAUACCGCAUACGACCUACGGGUGAAAGCAGGGGAUCUUCGGACCUUGCGCGAUUGAAUGAGCCGAUGUCGGAUUAGCUAGUUGGCGGGGUAAAGGCCCACCAAGGCGACGAUCCGUAGCUGGUCUGAGAGGAUGAUCAGCCACACUGGAACUGAGACACGGUCCAGACUCCUACGGGAGGCAGCAGUGGGGAAUAUUGGACAAUGGGCGCAAGCCUGAUCCAGCCAUACCGCGUGGGUGAAGAAGGCCUUCGGGUUGUAAAGCCCUUUUGUUGGGAAAGAAAAUCAGCAGGUUAAUACCCCGCUGUUCUGACGGUACCCAAAGAAUAAGCACCGGCUAACUGCGU